rnacentral:lncRNA from 1 species
CAGCGGUCUAUGGAUCACAUACGAUUUUUAAUAGAAUGGGGAAUGAGAGGGAAAAAAGAAAUGAAAGGCGGGGGUCAGGAGUUUAUAAAAUCCCAGUUGAGCUAGGGAGAACAUGGAGGGGUUCUUUGUACAUAGGGGUUAUUACAUGGACAUUACAGCAAAGGAUUGCAGAGCGCAGGAGGGGCAUGGCCGUGGGAGCUGCAGCCGCUGCCCUGGCGGAGGCUGUGUAUACAAGCGAGAUGGGCAUGGACUGGGAUGGGGCAGGGAUUGUGAAGCCAGUGACGAGGGGGUCGCGGGCCCUGCUAUUGGAAGGAUUGGAGGUCAUAAAAGC